UAGCAAGCAUGUACUCUGUAGUU
rnacentral:misc_RNA from 1 species